rnacentral:lncRNA from 1 species
AUGUGUUCUCUUAUAGGAUACCAUGUGGAGACUCAUGUUCCUACUCCAGACGGCCCUGGUGACAACAUUGAUCUCAAACCCAUGGGGAGCAAUGUCAAUAUUUGGGAAAAGUUAGAUAAGGAAAUACUAAAUACUACUCACUUUUGUCUAGAAGGAGGAACUCUGGCAGCCCAAAUUUACACCACUUGCACUGUUGGGUUCCCUAUACCCCUGGAGACUGUGCAAAACAAGUCAAUACUAGCAAAUUUCAAAGUAACUAGUAUGUUUGGUCAGAUAUCUCGACAGGGUUCCGCCACAACACAGUAUAACAAAACAAUGAUAGUAAUUAAGGUGAAAGGAAUGUUUCCUGCAGUUGAGUGCGCUGUGAAUGUAAAUUGUACCAGCAAAACCCGAGCAUGCCACAACUUUACGGAAGAUGGGCCUUCUCUUAAGUGUAAUCAAAUAACCAAUGUAACCUUUAACUAUGCACAUGUAGUGCUCCCUACAGGAAUGUUUUGGCCAUGCGGGGUAAAAGCUUACUCCUACAUUCCAGCCAAUAUUACUGGUGGCCCCUGUACCAUCAGUCUCUUGAGCAUCUAUAUGCCAAGCAAACAAGAGACAGAGGAAAUAGCUGGGAAUCAAACACAAAAGAGGAGAGAGGCCUCAUCCCUCGACCCUGAAUGUAAUUCAGAAGUAAUCUUACUCUCAACAUCACAAAUCUCAGCCGSAGCAUUCCUUACACCUGGGGUGGGAGGUGCUAUGAACUAUCAAGCUAUAAAAAAGAUCGCAUGUUCUUUAGCUAAGACUAUCAACACCACUUCUGCUGCCCUAUCAGCAAUGCUUAGAGAUGUGCAAGCCUUGUGUGCCAGUGGGUUAGAAAACAGAGCAGCAGUUGACUAUCUUCUUUUACAACACAACCACGGAUGUGAAGAAUUCAAAGGCAUGUGCUGCUUCAACCUGAGCGACCAUUUGACCCUGACUGAAGGGAAGAUCACAAACCUUAAACGCCUAGCUUUGGACAUUAAACAGCAUAAUGAUAAUGGGUUUAAUUGGCUGCAAAAAUUGUUCCAAAAUUAUGGACUGUUCAUAUCAGCUUGGCUCGCGUCGGGCUUACAAACCGUCGUAAUAAUUGUACUCAUGAUAAUUAUUAUAUGUAUUGCUUUUGCCUGCUUGAAAGCUUUAAUAUUAUACACAAUCUUUGCUAAGGUAAAUGCUUUAAACACAGGCUACUUGCCAUUGCAACAAGAAGACCAGACCCAUGACUGCCCUUGA